rnacentral:rRNA from 1 species
UGCCAGCAGCCGCGGUAAUACGGAGGGUGCAAGCGUUGUUCGGAUUUACUGGGCGUAAAGAGCGCGUAGGCGGCUUCAUAAGUUAAGGGUGAAAUCCCGGGGCUUAACUCCGGAACUGCUCUUAAAACUGUGGAGCUAGAGACAAUCAGAGGUGGGUGGAAUUCCAGGUGUAGAGGUGAAAUUCGUAGAUAUCUGGAGGAACACCGGUGGCGAAGGCGGCCCACUGGGAUUGUUCUGACGCUGAGAUGCGAAAGCGUGGGGAACAAACAGGAUUAGAUA